ACAUGCAAGUCGAGUGCGCGUCUGUAGCAAUACAGAUGGCGCACGGCGCACGGGUGCGUAACACGUGGGUAAUCUGCCCUUCGAAGGGGAAUAACUCGCCGAAAGGCGAGCUAAUUCCGCAUAACAUUCCGAGAACCUUGGUUUUUGGAUUCAAAGGCGUAAGUCGUCGGAGGAGGAGCCCGCGCACGAUUAGCUAGUUGGUAGGGUAACGGCCUACCAAGGCUAUGAUCGUUAGCUGGUCUGAGAGGAUGGCCCGCCACACUGGAACUGAGACACGGUCCAGACUCCUACGGGAGGCAGCAGUGGGGAAUCUUGCACAAUGGGCGAAAGCCUGAUGCAGCGACGCCGCGUGGGGGAUGAAGCUUUUCCGAGUGUAAACCCCUGUCGACCCGGACGAAUGACCCGCAAGGGGACUGACGGUACGGGUAUAAGAAGCCCCGGCU
rnacentral:rRNA from 1 species